rnacentral:rRNA from 1 species
UACGAAGGGGGCUAGCGUUGUUCGGAAUACUGGGCGUAAAGCGCACGUAGGCGGACUACUAAGUCAGGGGUGAAAUCCUGGAGCUCAACUCCAGAACUGCCUUCGAUACUGAGGAUCUCGAGUCCGGGAGAGGUGAGUGGAACUGCGAGUGUAGAGGUGAAAUUCGUAGAUAUUCGCAAGAACACCAGUGGCGAAGGCGGCUCACUGGCCCGGUACUGACGCUGAGGUGGCGAAAGCGUGGGGA